AAAAGUUAUGCCACCACAUAAGAACACAUGAAAUAACACCCUCAUAUAGCAUGACCACAUGGAUCCAAACAUGAAAAGGUUUCCAAAUAUGGCAAGGUUACACUUGGGGCAUUACAUAGAGCCCCCCCCUAUGGUGGUUCUUUGCUCCAAUAUUUCUCUUUGCUUCCAAAAAAAUUGUCAUAAAGUAUCGUCCAAUUCUGAGAACUUUUGUUUCUGCACAAAAAACAACACCACGGUAAUUCUGCUGAAAACAACAUCAGUCCAGGUUAGUUCAAAAUAAAUCAUAUAAAGUGCAGCAAAACCAUAUAAAAGUAUUGUAAACAUAGGCAAACAUGGCAUGAAUACUUCAUAAAUUAUCAAUACGUUGGAGACGUAUUACCCCGCGGCACGUGUCAUCAAACGGCCUGACGCUCCCGUGGCAGUCUGGCCAUCAGGUGACUUUUUGGGUUGAUUGAAUCAAGAAAUUCCCUAUAUUUUGCAUCGCCCCGAGCGGGUAUUUCCCGGAUAUGUAACGAACUUGAUUAAACUUCACUUGAGAUGGUGUUGUUUGUGUAAAUCUU
rnacentral:lncRNA from 1 species